rnacentral:rRNA from 1 species
GACAGAGGGUGCAAACGUUGUUCGGAAUUACUGGGCGUAAAGGGCUCGUAGGCGGCCAACUAAGUCGGAUGUGAAAUCCCCGGGCUCAACCUGGGAAUGGCAUUUGGGACUGCAAGGCUGGAGUACGGCAGAGGAGACUGGAAUUCCUGGUGUAGCAGUGAAAUGCGUAGAUAUCAGGAGGAAUACCGAUGGCGAAGGCAGGUCUCUGGGCUGAUACUGACGCUCAUGCACGAAAGCGUGGGGAGCAAACAAGG